ACAAGCAGUGGAUUAUGUGGUUAAUUCGAAGCAACGCGAAGACUUACCAGGACUUGACAUCCUUUGACGACCAUAGAGAUAUGGUUUCCCUUCGGGGCAAAGAGACAGGUGGUGCAUGGUUGUCGUCAGCUCGUGUCGUGAGAUGUUGGGUUAAGUCCCGCAACGAGCGCAACCCCUAUUGUCAGUUGCCAUCAUUUAGUUGGGAACUCUGGCGAGACUGCCGUGGACAACACGGAGGAAGGUGGGGAUGACGUCAAAUCAUCAUGCCCCUUAUGACCUGGGCUACACACGUGCUACAAUGGUUGGUACAACGAGUUGCGAGUCGGUGACGGCGAGCUAAUCUCUUAAAGCCAAUCUCAGUUCGGAUUGUAGGCUGCAACUCGCCUACAUGAAGUCGGAAUCGCUAGUAAUCGCGGAUCAGCACGCCGCGGUGAAUACGUUCCCGGGCCUU
rnacentral:rRNA from 1 species